AACGAACGCUAGCGGCGUGCCUAACACAUGCAAGUCGAACGAGAACGUAUCUUCGGAUACUAGUAAAGUGGCGCACGGGUGAGUAACACGUGGAUAAUCUACCUCAGUAUUUGGGAUAACUCAGGGAAACUUGGGCUAAUACCGGAUAGACCACGGUAUGAGAAACAGUGGUAAAAGCAGGGGCUUCUUUCGGGAACCUUGCGUAUUGAGAUGAGUCCGCGGUCCAUCAGAUAGUUGGUAGGGUAAUGGCCUACCAAGUCUAAGACGGAUAGCAGGUCUGAGAGGAUGAUCUGCCACACUGGAACUGAGACACGGUCCAG
rnacentral:rRNA from 1 species